rnacentral:rRNA from 1 species
AUCGUUGCUUCGGCGGACACGCCCCGGCGCAUCCAUCACGGGAGAGCCGGACCCAGGCGCCCGCCGGAGACCCCAAACCCUCAUGUUUUUAGUGGUUUUCUCCUCUGAGUGACACAUAAACAAAUAAAUAAAAACUUUCAACAACGGAUCUCUUGGCUCUGGCAUCGAUGAAGAACGCAGCGAAAUGCGAUAAGUAAUGUGAAUUGCAGAAUUCAGUGAAUCAUCGAAUCUUUGAACGCACAUUGCGCCCGCCAGUAUUCUGGCGGGCAUGCCUGUCCGAGCGUCAUUUCAACCCUCAGGCCCCCAGUGCCUGGCGUUGGGGAUCGGCGUGGCGUCCUCCGGGACGCUGCCGGCCCCGAAAUUCAGUGGCGGUCUCGCUGUAGCCCUCCUCCGCGUAGUAGCACAACCUCGCGGCCUGGAGCUCGGCGGUGGCCAUGCCGUAAAACACCCCACUUCUGAAAGUUGACCUCGGAUCAGGUAGGAAUACCCGCUGAACUUAAGCAUAUC